GUCCAGCGCCGAAUUCCGCGCUCGUUCCGGGCGUCGGAAAAUGUGGCGUUUAGGAGGGCGCGUGCCGGGAGUCUGACCUUGCAGCAAGUCCCCCUGACCGGGGCGAUUUCCCAGAGCGGGUGCGAGGCCCAUAGCUGCUCGGUCUCUCUCGGAUGCCACCUCUUGGGAGUCGGGUUGCUUGGGAGUGCAACCCCAAUUGGGUGGUAAACUCCACCUAAGACUAAAUACGGCCGUGAGACCGAUAGCAAACAAGUACCGUGAGGGAAAGUUGCAAAGAACUUUGAAGAGAGAGUUCAAGAGUACGUGAAACUGCUCAGAGGCAAACGGGUGGGCCCUCGAAAUCCUUCGGCGGGGGAUUCAGUCUGGAAGUGCGGGCGCGUUCGCCGGUGUUUCGUACGGACCCUGUCCGGGCCGGACCGGCGUCGCGAUCUCCGCAGGACCCGACGCACUUCCUCCCGCCCUUAGGACGCCGCAGCCGGUCGGGUAGCUGCGCGAGUCGGCCAUGAGGACGGACACCGGAAGGUGGCCGGUGGCGUUCUUCGUGUUCGUCGCCGGUCGUUAUCCAGUCCGCCCGUGGCGCGACACCCGACCGAGGUCGAAGGUCCCGGUUAGGACCUCGCCGUCCCCUCCCCAGUGGUCGAGCAGGAACGCCGGCAGGCGCUUCCCCGGCAGUCCGUCCCACUCUCCGAGUGGCCGGUCGUCGGGUGACGCCGUUGGCGAGGACGUUUCCUGCGUGGGGUCUGUUCAGGCGGCUAGCGGCGAGUAGGUCGGUCACCCACCCGACCCGUCUUGAAACACGGACCAAGGAGUCUAACAUGUGCGCGAGUCAUUGGGUCUUGAUUAGGCCCAGAGGCGCAAUGAAAGUGAAGGCCGUCCCCGGCCGAGUUGGGACUCUCCGCCCUCACGAGGCGGGGAAGCACCAACGGCUCGCCCUGUCCGAUUCAUCGGUUGGGCGAAGCGAGAGCGUACACGUUGGGACCCGAAAGAUGGUGAACUAUGCCUGGGCAGGACGAAGCCAGAGGAAACUCUGGUGGAGGUCCGUAGCGGUUCUGACGUGCAAAUCGAU
rnacentral:rRNA from 1 species